rnacentral:rRNA from 1 species
CAGCAGCCGCGGGAAUACGAAGGGGGCUAGCGUUGCUCGGAAUUACUGGGCGUAAAGGGAGCGUAGGCGGAUCGUUAAGUUGGGGGUGAAAGCCCGGGGCUCAACCUCGGAAUUGCCUUCAAUACUGGCGAUCUUGAGUAUGGAAGAGGUAUGUGGAACUCCGAGUGUAGAGGUGAAAUUCGUAGAUAUUCGGAAGAACACCAGUGGCGAAGGCGACAUACUGGUCCAUUACUGACGCUGAGGCUCGAAAGCGUGGGGAGCAAACAGGAUUAGAGACCCCAGUAGUCCCUGUCUCUUAUAC